rnacentral:rRNA from 1 species
UACGGAGGGAGCUAGCGUUGUUCGGAAUUACUGGGCGUAAAGCGCACGUAGGCGGCUUUGUAAGUUAGAGGUGAAAGCCCGGGGCUCAACUCCGGAACUGCCUUUAAGACUGCAUCGCUUGGAUCCAGGAGAGGUGAGUGGAAUUCCGAGUGUAGAGGUGAAAUUCGUAGAUAUUCGGAAGAACACCAGUGGCGAAGGCGGCUCACUGGACUGGUAUUGACGCUGAGGUGGCGAAAAGCGUGG